rnacentral:misc_RNA from 1 species
AUGAAAGCUCGUAAAAUUUUAAUUACCGUAGCCAUUCUGGCUUCACUGCUUGCUUACCGAUAUUAUUCUCAGAGAACCAUGGAAUUUUUAAUUGAAGAAGAUCAAAUGUGUCUACAGAGGGAAUGGUAUGAAAACCCUGACGCUGCUUCUCUUCGGGGUCUCCAAAGUCCCGUCAGCCCAGCUAAUUGGAAAAAUUGACGGAGAUGUUCUCUUCUUUCCGAAUUUAUUCUUAUCGACUAUAAAAAACGAAAAUUCUAUGAUUAACGUGACAAGUGCAAGUGUUUAUGGAAAAAUUGCCGAAGCUGGAGUGCCGAUUGUGUCCAACUGCUGCAAACGAUUUUUAAAGUACAAUUUCAGACGAAAUUCUCUGAUUUCGUUUGGAUGCACGAGGUACGCUUUCUAUCUUGCUGGUCCAUUCUACUUGGUGACAAGAAGUGCUGCUUUACGAUUACUAGAAGCUUCAAAACAUAGAAAUUUUCACAAGAUCGAAGAUACCCUCAUCACUGGAGUUCUGGCUGAUGAUACUGAUGUGAGCAGAGUACAGCUUCACCGGAUAAAUUUGGGCCAAGAGAAGGGAACUGAUUUGGUUUUUGCAUGGCAUAGCCCGCUAAAUGAUCCGGAGUACAAAGAUCUUUACUACAAAACUAUGAGCUCACAGCAGUUUAAAGAAAAAUUGCGAUUACAAGAAAUAAAUGUCACUUGA